rnacentral:rRNA from 1 species
GUGAACGCUGGCGGUAGGCCUAACACAUGCAAGCCGAACGGCAGCACCGUAAGAGCUUGCUCUUACGGGUGGCGAGUGGCGGACGGGUGAGGAAUACAUCGGAAUCUACUUUUUCGUGGGGGAUAACGUAGGGAAACUUACGCUAAUACCGCAUACGACCUACGGGUGAAAGCAGGGGAUCUUCGGACCUUGCGCGAUUGAAUGAGCCGAUGUCGGAUUAGCUAGUUGGCGGGGUAAAGGCCCACCAAGGCGACGAUCCGUAGCUGGUCUGAGAGGAUGAUCAGCCACACUGGAACUGAGACACGGUCCAGACUACUACGGGAGGCAGCAGUGGGGAAUAUUGGACAAUGGGCGCAAGCCUGAUCCAGCCAUACCGCGUGGGUGAAGAAGGCCUUCGGGUUGUAAAGCCCUUUUGUUGGGAAAGAAAAGCAGCAGGUUAAUACCCCGCUGUUCUGACGGUACCCAAAGAAUAAGCACCGGCUAACUUCGUG